GGGGGGAGGUCGGAUCCUGGGCUGUGUCCCGGCGCCCUGUGCUCUGGAGCCUGUGCUGGUGGAUUCGCUCCCAACCCCGCAGCCCCCU
rfam:Canis lupus familiaris chromosome 21, whole genome shotgun sequence.